rnacentral:rRNA from 1 species
GAAGGCGGCCAAAGCGGUGGGGAGACACCCGUACCCAUUCCGAACACGGAAGUUAAGCCCACCAGCGUAUCGUGAAGUACUGGAGUGAGCGAUCCUCUGGAAACCACGAGUCGCCGCCUCCCC